rnacentral:rRNA from 1 species
GCCUACGGCCAUACCACCUUGAACACACCCAAUCUCGUCUGAUCUCGGAAGCUAAGCAGGGUCGGGCCUGGUUAGUACUUGGAUGGGAGACCGCCUGGGAAUACUGGGUGCUGUAGGCC